AAGUCUGGUGCCAGCAGCCGCGGUAAUUCCAGCUCCAAUAGUGUAUAUUAGAGUUGUUGCAGUUAAAAAGCUCGUAGUUGGAUUUCUGUCGUGGUCAUCCGGUUCCGCCCGUAUGGGUGUGCGCCUGGUUUGCCCUCGGCUUUCUUCCGUUAGCCUUCGGCGCUUCAUUGCGUCUGUUGGUGUUUCGGAACUUUUACUUUGAGAAAAAUAGAGUGUUUCAAGCAGGCUUGUCGCCCUGAAUACUUCAGCAUGGAAUAAUAAGAUAGGACCUUGGUUCUAUUUUGUUGGUUUCUGGGACUAAGGUAAUGAUUAAUAGGGACAGUUGGGGGCAUUCGUAUUUAACUGUCAGAGGUGAAAUUCUUAGAUUUGUUAAAGACGAACUACUGCGAAAGCAUUUGCCAAGGAUGUUUUCAUUAAUCAAGAACGACAGUAAGGGGUUUGAAGACGAUUAGAUACCGUCGUAAUCUCUACCAUAAACUAUGCCGACUAGAGAUAGGGAAAUGCCUACCUUGGCUUCUCCUGCACCUCAUGAAAAAUCAAA
rnacentral:rRNA from 1 species